UGGACGUUCCAGCCUCGCUGCUGUAUGAUCAGAGGCUGUGAAGCUGCAGCUGUCAGGAUUAGUCCUCUGUGAGGACUCGCUGCCGGUGUGUGCAGUAGUAAAGUGCGUGCUUCGGUGCUCGCCUUUCAGGCACCAUCGGAGGUCUCAUCAGCAAAGCAAGAGUUGUGGAUUAUACUUUUUAACCUUCUAGAAACUCAGCUAACUCGUAUAUAUAGUUUUCAAGAAAUGAUCAAGAAAGCAUCAAUAUAUAGCCAUCCCUUAGUUCAUCGCUUAAUGGAUCUCAAAGCUCAAAAAGAGAACAGAGAAGCCGAUGAUGACAGGAAAGUGGUUGCAGAGAUCAUGCAGAGGUGUUUUGUUCCAGCUUUUGUAACAGCCAUCUCCUGGGAGGGAUUUCAUUUCGUUGGUCAUGAGAUUCGGAUUACUGAAGCCAUGGAUUGUUACGGUGCUAUUGUUUGGCCAUCGGCCCUUGUUCUAUGCUAUUUCCUGGAAACAAAUGUAAAGCAGUAUAACAUGGUUGACAAAAAUGUGAUUGAAAUUGGAGCUGGAACAGGGUUAGUCUCCAUCGUGGCGAGUUUACUUGGUGCGCACGUGACUGCCACAGAUUUACCUGAGUUACUUGGAAACCUGCAAUAUAAUAUUUCCCGAAACACCAAAAUGAAAUGUAAGCAUUUGCCUCAGGUUAAAGAGCUCUCCUGGGGUGUAGCUUUAGACAAGAACUUUCCCAAGGCUUCCAGCAACUUUGACUACAUCCUGGCGGCCGAUGUUGUCUAUGCUCAUCCAUUUCUGGAAGAACUCCUCAUUACCUUUGACCAUCUGUGCAAAGAAACCACCGUCAUCCUCUGGGUCAUGAAAUUCAGGAAAGGUCUUGAUGUGAGUCUAAUAAGCACUAAUAAUUAAGGGAUGUGUGUGGCAGUGCAUCCUCAUACGUGAAAUUGAUGAAGAGACUUUGCAGCUGAGGAUUAUCCUGGCUACACCAAGACUAACAAAGAAAUGAAGGAACAAAGCCCAUGAACCCAGGAGACGUGGAAGUUACUCAGACAUAAGGACAGAAACUCAGAACCUUUUCCAAAUAGAAACAGUCCAUCUGAGCGGUGGUAAACAAGAUGUUGAAGUCUGCAAAAUGGAAAACAAAUUAUGCAGAGGAAUUGUGUGCAAUGACUUAGAAAGAAAAAAAAAAAAAGGACACUUUUUAACCCACUCCUGCUUCUUUAAUUGUUUUGGCAUGUGAGAAUCAGAGAGUCACGCAGGUAAGCAAAUGUUAACUUUCCAGAAGCCUGCCACUUGGAGGCUCAGAUCCAUGUUUGGUGUAGCUUCAUGCUGCAGCCAAGCCGCAAUAGCACAAAGCAAGUACGUGUUGUUAUGUGUGAAAUGACUGAAGGUGGUUUUGAACUUUUCACUGAAGUGAGUGUCAUGGGUUAAAGACUUCCACCAAGACUGCAAUGAACCACCACAAAACCGUCUCUAGAAUUCAGCCUAUUGCUCCUAACUGAGGUUGGAUACCCCUAGAGGAUUACAAAGUGAUAUUUGACAGCAAAGACUUUUGCAGUAUCAUUUGUUUGGGUUAUUAAGAGUGAACAUAUAUAUUAUAAAUGCUUCCUUUUUUUUUUUAUUGCUUUCCCAUACUUUUAUCAGUUUGGAAGGAAAACUUCAGAAAAAUACUGUGAUAAGAGUCAGUAAAUUUUCUGCAGAGAGUUUAAUGGGAUAGUUAAAAUUUCUUAAAUAAAGCAUUGUCUCUCACCGCAGACAUGGCCGUUCUCCCAGUUAUGGAUGGAAGGAGACUGCUAAAAGCACUACAACCCUGCGAAUACCCAAAGCAGUACCGAAAAUCGCUGAUGCUGUCAUGUUUCACAGAUGCAGCCGCUGAGGCUGGUAGAGGAUAAAUAACAACCCCCGGGUCACACUGCACUGGUAGCAAGUGACAGAACCAUACUUAGAUUCCAGAUGCUGGAACUCUAAACCACUAUGUUACAUUUAUUCAACAGAUAUUUCCCGAGUUCCCAGUUAUUUCUUAGUCCGUAUAUGAUACUGCUCAUAUUGGUGGUUGAAUCGUACAAUAUCAGACAUAGCUCUGCUCUUAAGAUGCUUCUCCUAUUGUCAGGGGAGAUAAGACAUGUUUCCACAAAAACUCACCAAAAUAGAAGGCAGUAAACAAGAUGUGAAGACUUAAGAGGUAGGCAUUUUAAACAAGGUAGGCUCACGUUUUGGGCCCCAAUCACUUGUCUUUUGAAGCAUAAAACAUGAUAUUGAUAAAAGAAAUGUUCACAUAUUGAAGUAUGGGGAAGUCUUUCUGGCUUAUACAUGAGUUAACUUGAACUUUAUGCUAACUAAAACAGCCUGUUUGUGGCCUAUCAAACGCACAUUGUACAUCUGCUGGAAUUAUUAAAAGAAAGGGCGCAUUGACCAGAGGUAAAAAAAUGUCCACGUUAAAAAUGAAGAUCAAAUGCCUUCCUUCCUGGGAUGCCAAGGCCGGGACUCCUUCCAUGAUGACUCCCUUCCCUGGGGCCAAGGCCAUCCUGACUCACUGUGUAGGUGCUGAUCUCUUUUGCUGAAACCUUGAAGGAAUGUAUCUCUGACUUGUUUGGUGUUAUUUGUUCUGACAAGAUGUAAAACUGUGCUGAAACCGUGCUUCCCUGGAGCAGUUCCUCAGAGUUAUAUGAGAGGCUGGCUUCCAGGCUAUAGUCCUCAGCUUGGCUGAAAUAAAACUCCUGUCUGUCUAUUCCUAUUAUAGAUUGUUGACUGAUUAUUUUCGUCGACAGUAUCAUUCCACCAGGACAGGCAAACCUACUUGAGGAGAGAAGAUACAGCAUUUGUAUGAAUGUUGCAGCUCUGCUGCAUUUCUGAAGACCCUGAUGUGAUCAGGGAGGACUCCACAGAGGAGGUGAGACUCGAGUGGAACCUCCAAGGAUGACGAAACUUGGAUAUCUGGAGAGGCGAGGAGAAGGUGUCAGAGGCUACAGAAAUGGUUCACAUUAAGGUGUGGAGUCAAGUGUAUAUGAGGAGUGAUGGUAAAAUAUUGAAGAGGGUCGGCCUUAUUGGAGAAUAAGUUUUCUGGGGAAGGAAUGCCAGAUAAGACUAGAAACUUCUAAUGACCCACGGUGAGCACCUGGUAGGAAGAGGAAGCAGAAUGCAAGGGGAGGAGAAGAUGCACAAUUCCCCUCACAGAAUGGCCUGGGGUUGCUCUGUUUACAUAUUAGCCCUUUUGUCUAGAAUCUUUCCCCUGAAACUCUUAUUAUUAAGCAACAAAGCUAAAUGAAUACUGAAAUAAUUAUCUGAAAAAACAAGGGAUAAAGAUUGGGGAAUUAUUUCUAUAAACAGCAGGGUAUUUCCUGAGGCCAAAAAAUGUGAGUUAUUUCCUUUAUUAUUUCUAAUACUUUACUAAAUGCCUGCUAGUCCUUGGAGGGUCAAAAAUAAACUCUUAUCUUCAGUUAUUCUUCUUAUCUUUGAAACUUAUCCGAUAAGAGCAUUUUCAACUUUUGAGUUGUAAGAACAACAUCCUUAAUAAAAUUAUAUUGUACUUUCUUUGA